GUGGAAGCAGUGUGUAUUUGUGUAUAAGGGAUGUAUUAUGUGUUUCUGGUUGUGUGUAAGGGAUGCAUUGUGUGAAUCUGUGUUUGUAUGCAUAAGGGAUGCAAGGUGUGUGUCUGUAUGUGUGUGCAUGAGAUGCAUUGUGUUUCUGUGUGUAUGUAAGAAAAGAAAUGUGUGUGUUUGCAUGCGUGUGUACGGGUUUGCAUUGUCAUAUACAGUUUCUGUGUAUGUGUGCAAAGGAUGCAUUGUCUUUGUGUGUAAGGGUUGCAUUGUGUGUGUGUGUGUAAUGGAUGCAUUGUGUGUUUAUCUGUGUGUAAGGGAAGCAUGUUGUGUUUCUGUGUAUGUAUAGGGAUGCAUUGUGUGUGUGUGCGCGCGUAGUGUGAAAGAGCUCCCUGUCUUGGCCCC
rnacentral:lncRNA from 1 species